rnacentral:sRNA from 1 species
AUUCUGCCCAUGCGGGGAAGGAUGAGAAGCUUCGACUAAGGUUCGAUUCGAGCGAAAGCGAGAGAACGUUGCCACAGGCAACGACCCGAAGGGCGAAGCGCGCAGCGCUGAGUAAUCCUUCCCCCACCACCA